rnacentral:rRNA from 1 species
AUUGAACGCUGGCGGCAGGCCUAACACAUGCAAGUCGAGCGAGCGGCGGACGGGUGAGUAAUGUCUGGGAAACUGCCUGAUGGAGGGGGAUAACUACGGGAAACUGUAGCUAAUACCGCGUACCAUAGGAUGAGCCCAAUUGGGAUUAGGUAGUUGGUGGGGUAAAGGCUCACCAAGCCGACGAUCUCUAGCUGGUCUGAGAGGAUGACCAGCCACACUGGAACUGAGACACGGCCCAGACUCCUACGGGAGGCAGCAGUGGGGAAUAUUGCACAAUGGGUGCAAGCCUGACGCAGCCAUGCCGCGUGAAUGAAGAAGGCCUUCGGGUUGUAAAGUACUUUCGGCAGGGAGGCGUUACCUACAGAAGAAGCACCGGCUAACUCCGUGCCAGCAGCCGCGGUAAUAC